rnacentral:snoRNA from 1 species
UUGUGAUGAAACCUAAACUGAAAUAGCUGGAAUUACCGGCAGAUUGUUUAGUGGUGACUCUGUUUUCUGAAC